rnacentral:misc_RNA from 1 species
GUGUUGCCAAGGCAACACUAAAGUUUUGAAAUUGCCAAAACUUUUUCUUUGUGAGUUUUGUCUCAAAUAUAUGAAGAGUAAACGUAUGCUUUUCAGGCACAUGCAAAAAUGUGAUUGGACUCAUCCUCCUGCAACAGAAAUUUAUCGUCAAAAUGAUCUCUCAGUGUUUGAAGUGGAUGGUAACGUGAACAAAAUUUAUUGUCAAAAUUUGUGCUUGUUAGCAAAACUUUUUCUGGAUCAUAAAACUCUUUAUUAUGAUGUGGAGCCAUUUUUAUUCUAUGUUCUAACCAAAAAUGAUCAAAAAGGAUGUCAUCUUGUUGGUUAUUUUUCAAAGG